GACGAACGCUGGCGACGUGCUUAACACAUGCAAGUCGAACGGAAAGGCCCCUUUGGGGGUACUCGAGUGGCGAACGGGUGAGUAACACGUGAGUAACCUGCCCUUGACUUCGGGAUAACUUCAGGAAACUGGGGCUAAUACCGGAUAGGAAUCCUUGCUGCAUGGUGGGGGUUGGAAAGCUUCGGCGGUUUUGGAUGGACUCGCGGCUUAUCAGCUUGUUGGUGGGGUAGUGGCUUACCAAGGCUUUUACGGGUAUCCGGCCUGAGAGGGCGACCGGCCACAUUGGGACUGAGAUACGGCCGAGACUCCUAAGGGAGGCAGCAGUGGGGAAGAUUGCACAAUGGGCGGAAGCCUGAUGCAGCAACGCCGCGGGCGGGAUGACGGCCUUCGGGUUGUAAACCGCUUUCAGCAGGAGCGAAGCUUGUGGUGACGGUACCUGAAGAAGAAGCACCGGCUAACUACGUG
rnacentral:rRNA from 1 species